AAGUAACUUUCCUUAAAGGACCCCCUCUAAAAUCUUUUCAGGUUUCAGAAACUCAGUGACCAUACUUUGAUGACAAGCCAGAUGGCAGCUGUUCCCCAAGCCCGGUGCCAAGAAAGAUGAUUGGAGCUGCAAUUUACCUUCCGUGGUGAAGCUCAAUGCUGGAGCAUACCACAGCUGCGGAUUUGGCUGCUGCCAGUAGGUGUGUGCACAGUUGGUUUCCUCCCAAUUUGGAUUCAUCAGGGACCAGUGGUCUGGCUUGGAAAACU
rnacentral:lncRNA from 1 species